AAACACAAUUUCGGGAGAAUAUUUAACAACACCCAGAAAACAAGCAAUGACAAGUAAGUGUCUUCUAUAGUUAUAAAAUGUAUUCAUAUAUUAUUUUCCUUGCAGACUGAGUUUUUGUUGACAUGUAAAUAUCCUUUUUUCAUUUCAGAACUAUUCAUUUUGACCUGGAUCUUUAUGCUAUUACUCAUUAAAAGAUCUAGGUGUCUGUUCAAUAUUCCAAAACAAGAGUAAGCAUUGUUAGCAUAAUAAUCCACAUUAUUUCUUAGUUAAGUCGACUUUAAAAAGACAGUCUAUACAUUGUAUAUUUAAUAGGAAAAAAAGAUUUCAACGUAAUUCUGUAAUGUUAAUAUUGAGAAUAGACACAAGACGUUUUGUGUCGCCAUGUUUAAAUCUAAAAAAUGUUAUCACCUGUCAUUCUUUGUUGUCAGAUUGGCUUGCUUGGGAAGAGUUUUGAAUGAUUACGGCACCAUUUAUAGUUGUCCAUGGGAUAUAUCUAAUGCCUGCUCAGCGCCUAAUAUAAAAUGUCAUAGAAACAAUUCCCUGUGUGGAGAGCGAGAGCAGCAGUUUACCGUGGUCUCAAUUAUUGUGUUCUUGUCUUCAUAUCCUAUUCUUAAAAACGAGAAAGUGUUUACAACAUUGUGUGCAUGUGGGAGAACAGAUUUCAGCUGUUACGUUUCAUUGAACGAUACUACAGGCAUUCAAGAACUGUGUAACGAAGAUGCUUUAUCCUUCUCACCAACAGUCCCAUUAACAACCGAGGUUUAUAAGCCUUCUAAUGGUAGUACUGCGGAGACCCCUUGCUCAACCCAGAAAAGUAGUUCUUCUGCUGGCGAAAUAGUCGGAGCUCUAUUUGGUGGCAUUGUUCUGGGUGUCUUGGGGGUUAUUUUGUCAUAUUUUGGGACCAAGUGGUAUCGAAACGCAAAACCGAAGCAUACCACCAGAAAAAGUGAAUUAGGAACAGCGAAUCCAGCAUAUGGAUCCACACCGUACACUGUGCCUGUCGAUCAACAAUUAAAUUCUAGACCAAGAAAUACUUCCCAUGUUUACACGACGAUCAAUGACAAUACUCCUAAGGUUUCCCACGUCAAACCUAUAGUGAGAUAUGACCAAGAAGACAACGCAACUUACAGUGAAACGUACAGUCAUCUGAAUGAAUCAGAAUAUAAAGAAACAACGGAUAACUACGAUCACGUUAGACCACCAGGGGGUAUAUCGAAAACAUCAAUGAAUGACAGCAAUGGUAUGAAAACUAAUUCUAGCGCUUUUGCUAAUCCGGUAAAUGAAUAUACGGAAGUUGUGGGAGACGGAUUUUUAAAUCAUGGUGAAUGCCAUGGUAACUAAGCCAAGCCAUGGAAAGAAGGACACUGAAUCAUGUUCUUUAUCUAUAAAUAUAGAUAUAAACUUCAUAGCCAACAGUAUUUAAAUCCUAUCAUUUAAGUUAUAAAGAAUAAAGCGUGUUUCUCUGUAAUAGAAAGUUUUUCAAAGUACACAUUAUUGAGUAUCAUAUUUAUCUUAUUACAUUCCAUGAGAUUAUUUGUUUAUGUGAAAUGCUCUGGUUUAUCAUAAGUAUGCAAGUUUUUAUCCUAGGUGUCAUGUCCACAUGAAAUAUAACGGUUGAAAUGUAGAAGAUCAGCAACGGAUUUGUUUUAAUCUGAGAGUGAAUUUAGUUCAUCUCAAGUAUAUUGCCCAUAUUUAACAUGCAAUAUGCAACUAAUUCAUUAUAAUUAAAACAUACAAUUCUCAAACUAUAAUUUUUCAUCUCGACGUUAACCUUAUUUUUGUUGCCAUUCAACGUAUUUGUGUUCAUAUUCAAGUACAAUUACUUUUUAAAGAGAGCCUACAGUGAAACUCAUUUGAAAAAUAAGUUGCAUAUUAGUGUUAUCUACAAUCACUGAUAGAUUUUGGUUUUUUUAAGUCUAAGUUAAGUGGUAAAAUUGUUGCAAUUUGUCAUUAGUCUGGAUAUUUCACAAAAUAUUUGUUAUUUGACAUGUAUUUAUGUUUAAGUUUCUACCUCAUAAGUGUUCUGAACAAUAUAUUCAUAUAUACAUGCAUAUUGCAUUGAAUUAAACGAAAUAUUCAAUCUGCU
rnacentral:misc_RNA from 1 species